rnacentral:rRNA from 1 species
AGACCCGAAACCCGGUGAUCUAGCCAUGGGCAGGUUGAAGGUUGGGUAACACUAACUGGAGGACCGAACCGACUAAUGUUGAAAAAUUAGCGGAUGACCUGUGGCUGGGGGUGAAAGGCCAAUCAAACCGGGAGAUAGCUGGUUCUCCCCGAAAGCUAUUUAGGUAGCGCCUCGUGAAUUCAUCUCCGGGGGUAGAGCACUGUUUCGGCUAGGGGGCCAUCCCGGCUUACCAACCCGAUGCAAACUGCGAAUACCGGAGAAUGUUAUCACGGGAGACACACGGCGGGUGCUAACGUCCGUCGUGAAGAGGGAAACAACCCAGACCGCCAGCUAAGGUCCCAAAGUCAUGGUUAAGUGGGAAACGAUGUGGGAAGGCCCAGACAGCCAGGAUGUUGGCUUAGAAGCAGCCAUCAUUUAAAGAAAGCGUAAUAGCUCACUGGUCGAGUCGGCCUGCGCGGAAGAUGUAACGGGGCUAAACCAUGCACCGAAGCUGCGGCAGCGACGCUGAUGCGUUGUUGGGUAGGGGAGCGUUCUGUAAGCCUGCGAAGGUGGCCUGUGAGGGUUGCUGGAGGUAUCAGAAGUGCGAAUGCUGACAUAAGUAACGAUAAAGCGGGUGAAAAGCCCGCUCGCCGGAAGACCAAGGGUUCCUGUCCAACGUUAAUCGGGGCAGGGUGAGUCGACCCCUAAGGCGAGGCCGAAAGGCGUAGUCGAUGGGAAACGGGUUAAUAUUCCCGUACUUGGUGUUACUGCGAAGGGGGGACGGAGAAGGCUAUGUUGGCCGGGCGACGGUUGUCCCGGUUUAAGCGUGUAGGUGUGUGUUCCAGGUAAAUCCGGUUCACUUUAACACUGAGGCGUGAUGACGAGGCACUACGGUGCUGAAGCAACAAAUGCCCUGCUUCCAGGAAAAGCCUCUAAGCAUCAGGUAACAUCAAAUCGUACCCCAAACCGACACAGGUGGUCAGGUAGAGAAUACCAAGGCGCUUGAGAGAACUCGGGUGAAGGAACUAGGCAAAAUGGUGCCGUAACUUCGGGAGAAGGCACGCUGACACGUAGGUGAAGUGAUUUACUCAUGGAGCUGAAGUCAGUCGAAGAUACCAGCUGGCUGCAACUGUUUAUUAAAAACACAGCACUGUGCAAACACGAAAGUGGACGUAUACGGUGUGACGCCUGCCCGGUGCCGGAAGGUUAAUUGAUGGGGUCAGCGCAAGCGAAGCUCCUGAUCGAAGCCCCGGUAAACGGCGGCCGUAACUAUAACGGUCCUAAGGUAGCGAAAUUCCUUGUCGGGUAAGUUCCGACCUGCACGAAUGGCGUAAUGAUGGCCAGGCUGUCUCCACCCGAGACUCAGUGAAAUUGAACUCGCUGUGAAGAUGCAGUGUACCCGCGGCAAGACGGAAAGACCCCGUGAACCUUUACUAUAGCUUGACACUGAACAUUGAGCCUUGAUGUGUAGGAUAGGUGGGAGGCUUUGAAGUGUGGACGCCAGUCUGCAUGGAGCCGGCCUUGAAAUACCACCCUUUAAUGUUUGAUGUUCUAACGUGGACCCGUGAUCCGGGUUGCGGACAGUGUCUGGUGGGUAGUUUGACUGGGGCGGUCUCCUCCUAAAGAGUAACGGAGGAGCACGAAGGUUGGCUAAUCCUGGUCGGACAUCAGGAGGUUAGUGCAAUGGCAUAAGCCAGCUUGACUGCGAGCGUGACGGCGCGAGCAGGUGCGAAAGCAGGUCAUAGUGAUCCGGUGGUUCUGAAUGGAAGGGCCAUCGCUCAACGGAUAAAAGGUACUCCGGGGAUAACAGGCUGAUACCGCCCAAGAGUUCAUAUCGACGGCGGUGUUUGGCACCUCGAUGUCGGCUCAUCACAUCCUGGGGCUGAAGUAGGUCCCAAGGGUAUGGCUGUUCGCCAUUUAAAGUGGUACGCGAGCUGGGUUUAGAACGUCGUGAGACAGUUCGGUCCCUAUCUGCCGUGGG